ACCCCCGGUAUUAUUGCUGUUAUGGGUUGCAAUCGAGCUUAGCGUUGUUCAUUUUUUUCCACAACACGCCCGUAAAAAAUAAAACACGCCCUGCUCAAGCCCGCAGUUUGCGAGUGUUCCCGCGCACAACAUUUGCCCUAAAGUGCGGCAAAAAUGGCUCUUUGGCGCCCUUUUAGGGCAA
rnacentral:sRNA from 1 species